rnacentral:rRNA from 1 species
AUGGGCGAAAGCCAUGACGGAGCAAUACCGCGUGAGGGAUGACGGCCUAUGGGUUGUAAACCUCUUUUUUCAGGGAGGAAUCAAUGACGUGUACCUGAAGAAUAAGCAUCGGCUAACUCCGUGCCAGCAGCCGCGGUAAGACGGAGGAUGCAAGUGUUAUCCGGAAUCACUGGGCGUAAAGCGUCUGUAGGUGGUUUAAUAAGUCAACUGUUAAAUCUUGAGGCUCAACCUCAAAAUCGCAGUCGAAACUAUUAGACUAGAGUAUAGUAGGGGUAAAGGGAAUUUCCAGUGGAGCGGUGAAAUGCGUAGAUAUUGGAAGGAACACCGAUGGCGAAGGCACUUUACUGGGCUAUUACUAACACUCAGAGACGAAAGCUAGGGUAGCAAAUGGGA